rnacentral:rRNA from 1 species
AUUGAACGCUGGCGGCAGGCCUAACACAUGCAAGUCGAACGGUAACAGGAAGCAGCUUGCUGCUUUGCUGACGAGUGGCGGACGGGUGAGUAAUGUCUGGGAAACUGCCUGAUGGAGGGGGAUAACUACUGGAAACGGUAGCUAAUACCGCAUAACGUCGCAAGACCAAAGAGGGGGACCUUCGGGCCUCUUGCCAUCGGAUGUGCCCAGAUGGGAUUAGCUAGUAGGUGGGGUAACGGCUCACCUAGGCGACGAUCCCUAGCUGGUCUGAGAGGAUGACCAGCCACACUGGAACUGAGACACGGUCCAGACUCCUACGGGAGGCAGCAGUGGGGAAUAUUGCACAAUGGGCGCAAGUCUGAUGCAGCCAUGCCGCGUGUAUGAAGAAGGCCUUCGGGUUGUAAAGUACUUUCAGCGGGGAGGAAGGGAGUAAAGUUAAUACCUUUGCUCAUUGACGUUACCCGCAGAAGAAGCACCGGCUAACUCCGUG